rnacentral:lncRNA from 1 species
ACUUCAUUUAUGAUUUAAAAAAUAAAAAUAUUGUAAAAAUACAUAUAAUUGAAGUUCCAUGUCCAAAAUGUCAUUUCUUUUUUGUGAAUUAAUUGCCAUUGCUGAUACACUGCUAAAUGGUCAAAAUUCCAUUGCCAGUAGUGGAAUUCCAUUACUGUUAGUAACAUGGAGCAUACUACUACAAACUCAUGCCCUGAUCUGUUUCGGAGUGGUCUGUGGUCGUUUAGAAAUGCCUAGAAUGGCUAUUGGUUUUGGCGGAGUUGCCCACAAUGCGUUGUGGUUGCCUCACGAUGGCCUCGAAGCGGAGUAGUGUUGAGCAUU